UGGGGAAUUUUGCACAAUGGGGGAAACCCUGAUGCAGCGACGCCGCGUGAUUUAGAAGGCCUUCGGGUUGUAAAAAUCUUUUUUAUGGGAUGAAAAUGACAGUACCAUAAGAAUAAGGUCCGGCUAAAUACGUGCCAGCAGCCGCGGUAAUACGUAUGGACCGAGCGUUGUCCGGAAUCAUUGGGCGUAAAGCGCUCGUAGGCGGUCUGUUAGGUCGGCAAGUUAAAUCCGGGGGCUCAACCCCCGUCCGCUUCCGAUACCGGCAGACUUGAGUUUGGUAGGGGAAGGUGGAAUUCCUAGUGUAGCGGUGGAAUGCGCAGAUAUUAGGAAGAACACCGGUGGCGAAGGCGGCCUUCUGGGCCAUAACUGACGCUGAGGAGCGAAAGCUAGGGGAGCGAACAGG
rnacentral:rRNA from 1 species